rnacentral:rRNA from 1 species
UGGGGAACCUGCCCCAUAGUCUGGGAUACCACUUGGAAACAGGUGCUAAUACCGGAUAAGAAAGCAGAUCGCAUUAUCAGCUUUUAAAAGGCGGCGUAAGCUGUCGCUAUGGGAUGGCCCCGCGGUGCAUUAGCUAGUUGGUAAGGUAAAGGCUUACCAAGGCGAUGAUGCAUAGCCUAGUUGAGAGACUGAUCGGCCACAUUGGGACUGAGACACGGCCCAAACUCCUACGGGAGGCAGCAUAA